CGUGGUGCGCAUGCGGAAAGGGGGCUGGGGCGGGUGCAAGCUGACAGGUGAGCUCCAAUGAGAUGGUUCCUAGAGGUGGAGUCCUGCUAGGGUCCGCAACGAGAUCAGGGGUUCUGCACGCCUGUCCGCCAGUUCCCCACUCGGCAUGGGUUCCUGCUUUUUCCAGUGUCAUGUGCGCCGUGAGGUUCUGAUGGCUUUUUCACCUUAAGGGGUAUGAGAUGCCCUGUGAUCAGUCCUUCAGGAAUCUGAACCAGCCGGCAUAGAAAAAAGCCUGUGAGCAGACACUGCAGAAAGGGCAUCCUUCAAAGACACAUACCUGGCAUUUGUGCUCAGAUACAAAUGAUGCUGGCAUAUUGAGUGCAGCACUUUCACAGUAUCAUCUUUCAAGAUUUGAAAUAGCUCAACUGGAAUUCCAUCACCUCCACUAGCUUUGUUUGUAGUGAUGCUUUCUAAGGCCCAUUUGACUUCACAUUCCAGGAUCUCUGGCUCUAGUUCUUCGUGUUGAGAUGAUGCCAUGACCUAACUCUGUAGCUCCAGAGCUGUCCCCAGCAUCUGUCAUCCUGAAGGAGAAGCACUCCAGACCUUAAUGAGGUCCUGUCCUGGGGCCAUGGAAUGGGAGGACAGAGAGAUGGAUCUUCAACACUCUUUUCCCAACCAACAUUGACCUCCUUCCCAAACAUAAAAACCUUGGUGCAGAGAUGUCCAUUCAUUGGAAACGUGUGUAAGCUAGGACAGAUGCAGUGCAUGCGUGCAUGCUAAGUUGCUUCAGUCGUGUCUGACUCUUUGCGACCCUAUGGACUGUAGCACACCAGCCUCCUCUGUCCAUGGGAUUCUCCAGGCAAGAAUACGGGAGUGGGUUGCCAUU